rnacentral:rRNA from 1 species
ACGAACGCUGGCGGCGUGCUUAACACCUGCAAGUCGCACGAUGAAGCCUAGCUUGCUAGGUGGAUUAGUGGCGAACGGGUGAGUAAUACGUGAGUGACCUACCUUUGACUCUGGGAUAAGCCUGGGAAACUGGGUCUAAUACCGGAUACGACCAAUCUCCGCAUGGGGUGUUGGUGGAAAGCGUUAUGGAGUGGUUUUAGAUGGGCUCACGGCCUAUCAGCUUGUUGGUGAGGUAAUGGCUUACCAAGGCGACGACGGGUAGCCGGCCUGAGAGGGUGACCGGCCACACUGGGACUGAGACACGGCCCAGACUCCUACGGGAGGCAGCAGUGGGGAAUAUUGCACAAUGGGCGCAAGCCUGAUGCAGCGACGCCGCGUGAGGGAUGACGGCCUUCGGGUUGUAAACCUCUGUUAGCAUCGAAGAAGCGAAAGUGACGGUAGGUGCAGAGAAAGCGCCGGCUAACUACGUG